rnacentral:pre_miRNA from 1 species
AUUGUACUCCCUCCAUUCGGAAUUACUUGUCGCCAAAAUGGAUGUAUCUAGAUGUAUUUUAGUUCUAGAUACAUCCAUUUUCGAGACAAGUAAUUCCGAACGGAGGGAGUACAAA